AGAGUUUGAUCCUGGCUCAGAACGUACGCUGGCGGCACGCCUAACACAUGCAAGUCGAACGCAGUAGCAAUACUGAGUGGCGAACGGGUGAGUAUAAUGUGGGUAUCUGCCUUUUGGUUUGGAAUAACACGAGGAAACUUGUGCUAAUACCGAAUAAGCCCUUACGGGGAAAGUUUUAACGCCGAAAGAUGAGCCCGCACUUGAUUAGCUAGUUGGUAGGGUAAUGGCUUACCAAGGCAACGAUCAAUAGCUGAUCUGAGAGGAUGAUCAGCCACAUUGGGACUGAGACACGGCCCAAACUCCUACGGGAGGCAGCAGUGGGGAAUCUUGCACAAUGGGGGAAACCCUGAUGCAGCGAUGCCGCGUGAGUGAAGAAGGCCUUUGGGUUGUAAAGCUCUUUCGUCGGGGAAGAAAAUGACUGUACCCGAAUAAGAAGGUCCGGCUAACUUCGUGCCAGCAGCCGCGGUAAUACGAAGGGACCUAGCGUAGUUCGGAAUUACUGGGCUUAAAGAGCACGUAGGUGGUUAAAAAAGUUGGUGGUGAAAUCCCAAGGCUCAACCUUGGAACUGUCACCAAAACUUUUUAGCUAGAGUGUGAUAGAGGUAAGCGGAAUUUCUAGUGUAGAGGUGAAAUUCGUAGAUAUUAGAAAGAACACCAAUUGCGAAGGCAGCUUUCUGGAUCAUUACUGACACUGAGGUGCGAAAGCAUGGGUAGCGAAGAGGAUUAGAUACCCUCGUAGUCCAUGCCGUAAACGAUGUGUGCUAGACGUUGGGAAUUUAUUUUUCAGUGUCGCAGCAAAAGCGAUAAGCACACCGCCUGGGGAGUACGACCGCAAGGUUAAAACUCAAAUGAAUUGACGGGGACCCGCACAAGUAGUGGAGCAUGUGGUUUAAUUCGAAGAUACGCGCAGAACCUUACCAACACUUGACAUGUUCGUCGCGACUCUAAGAGAUUAGAGUCUUCGGUUCGGCCGGACGAAACACAGGUGCUGCAUGGCUGUCGUCAGCUCGUGUCGUGAGAUGUUGGGUUAAGUCCCGCAACGAGCGCAACCCUUACUUUUAGUUGCUACCAUUAAGUUGGGCACUCUAAAAGAACUGCCAGUGAUAAGCUGGAGGAAGGUGGGGAUGACGUCAAGUCCUCAUGGCCCUUACGUGUUGGGCUACACACGUGCUACAAUGGUACUCACAAUGAGAUGCGAAGAGGCGACUCUAAGCUAAUCCCAAAAAAGUACCUCAGUUCGGAUUGCACUCUGCAACUCGAGUGCAUGAAGCUGGAAUUACUAGUAAUCGUGGAUCAGCGCGCCACGGUGAAUACGUUCCCGGGUCUUGUACACACCGCCCGU
rnacentral:rRNA from 1 species